GUAGGGAAUAUUGGACAAUGGAGGAAACUCUGAUCCAGCCAUGCCGCGUGAUAGAUGAAGGCCCUCUGGGUUGUAAAUAUCUUUUAUCUGGGAAGAAACAAUCUUAUUCUUAAGAUCUUGACGGUACCAGAGGAAUAAGCACCGGCUAACUCCGUGCCAGCAGCCGCGGUAAUACGGAGGGUGCAAGCGUUAUCCGGAUUCACUGGGUUUAAAGGGUGCGUAGGCGGGCUGAUAAGUCAGUGGUGAAAGCUCCGAGCUUAACUUGGAAACUGCCAUUGAUACUGCCAGUCUUGAAUGUCGUAGAGGUAAGCGGAAUGUUGCAUGUAGCGGUGAAAUGCUUAGAUAUGUUACAGAACACCAAUUGCGAAGGCAGCUUACUAUGCGAUGAUUGACGCUGAGGCACGAAAGCGUGGGGAGCAAACAGGAUUAGAAACCCCUGUAGUCC
rnacentral:rRNA from 1 species